GCACGGGGAGUUGCUGGUGCCUUGGAUGGGGAUCGAGGGCUGUGCGUGGUCCCUGGGGCUCUGGGGGAGGAAGGAGGAAGGCUGGGAAGUCCUUCUCCAUCCCGUUGGCUCUCUCUACCAUCCCCAUGGGUUUGCUGUCCCUGCCCAAACCCUGGUGCAAGCCAGGGAUGUGAAAUCAUCACCCUUCCCUGCACCUUCUCCAGUUCCCUUUGUUGGGCGAGGGACCGGAGCAGAUGCAGAGCUCAAGGUGUGAGCGACCUCAGGUCCACACCACAGCACCGAGACGUUCAUCUGUUCCUCUCCAGCAUUGUGUGUGCAUCACUGGGCAGAAGUUUCUGCACAGAAGCCCCCACCGUGGCCCUUGGAGCUCCUUCCCCGAGCUCCAACACCUCCUUCAAACCCACCUCUGUGUGCACAAAGCCAGAGGGUGAAGUGUUGGGACUGAGUCGCAGCCUUCUCCCAGCGAGAAGGUGGAAAAGCUACUGCGGAGGAGCCUCUCGCAAGUGUCCUACCCCCCGUGCUGGGGCUGGAGUGGCAUCCGUGUCUCGAGGAGCAGGCAGAGGAGCCCGGUGGAGUGCCACUCGACUGCUAAAACAGCCGUCCCCGGAGGCAGCCGGGGCUGGAGAUCGCUCCAGCAAUCUCCGGUUUCCUUGGUGACAGCCGGCAUCUCUCGGCUGCACAAGAGCUUGGGCUUGAAGGAUGGAGAGGAGUCUUUUUUUUCCCCGGAUAUUAUACUCUGUUAUUGGGUGUAGGCUCUCAAAGGUCCUCAUUGUUUGGAGUCCGAGGGGCUGGGGGACGGCAGAGCCCCACCAGCCCCAUCCUCCUUCCCUGGGCUGAAGGCACGGCGGGCUCCUCACUGCAGAUCCUCUUGCAGGAGCUGUUGCCAUCUUGUUUAAUUCCAGCAUUAUCUGAUUGUCACAGCGCGCUUCUCCGGAGUAGGCAGCGCGCCAGUUUGUUACUUAACCUGUAAUUGCACUUUAGUAUAAGCUAUCUCAAAAAAUGCAUUUUCAGAGCGAGUCCUUAUAAACAGAUGAUAGGCUCCCAACACCGAAGCGGGGUGUUUUUUGGGGGGAGGCUCUCGGGAGGAUUUGGCACUGGUUCUCGUAGUUUUAGUCGCUGAUGCUUUAUCACGGGUUCACACGCCGUACGUCGUGGAAGGACACGGCCCUUAGGAGUUCGCCCUAUUAAACCAAAAAUAAAUUGCUUUUCCCCAGGAAUUUACUAUGAAUG
rnacentral:lncRNA from 1 species